UGUCAAGUCGGAUGUGAAAUCCCCGGGCUCAACCUGGGAACUGCAUUCGAAACUGGCAGGCUUGAGUCUUGUAGAGGGGGGUAGAAUUCCAGGUGUAGCGGUGAAAUGCGUAGAGAUCUGGAGGAAUACCGGUGGCGAAGGCGGCCCCCUGGACAAAGACUGACGCUCAGGUGCGAAAGCGUGGGGAGCAAACAGGAUUAGAUACCCUGGUAGUCCACGCCGUAAACGAUGUCUACUUGGAGGUUGUGCCCUUGAGGCGUGGCUUCCGGAGCUAACGCGUUAAGUAGACCGCCUGGGGAGUACGGCCGCAAGGUUAAAAC
rnacentral:rRNA from 1 species